GGGAGAGGUGCGUCACCCCCCCGUGGGGAUAGCCGUGGCGGUGGCCAGACAGAGGGACAGCAGCGGUACAGACUCACGGACACAGAGACCUCUGCUACUGCACGGAGGGGUCAAAGACGAAGAGCGGGGGGGAGAACGAGGCCGUCACCAUGGUGAUAGACUGGGCUGCCUUGAGCGUGAGCAGGAGAAGUUGCUCAGAGAGAGUAAGGAGCUGGCAGAGUUCACCCAGAUGCACCCCC